GAUGAACGCUGGCGGCGUGCCUAAUACAUGCCAGUCGAGCGAACAGACGAGGAGCUUGCUCCUCUGACGUUAGCGGCGGACGGGUGAGUAACACGUGGAUGACCUACCUAUAAGACUGGGAUAACUUCGGGAAACCGGAGCUAAUACCGGAUAAUAUAUUGAACCGCAUGGUUCAAUAGUGAAAGACGGUUUUGCUGUCACUUAUAGAUGGAUCCGCGCCGCAUUAGCUAGUUGGUAAGGUAACGGCUUACCAAGGCGACGAUGCGUAGCCGACCUGAGAGGGUGAUCGGCCACACUGGAACUGAGACACGGUCCAGACUCCUACGGGAGGCAGCAGUAGGGAAUCUUCCGCAAUGGGCGAAAGCCUGACGGAGCAACGCCGCGUGAGUGAUGAAGGUCUUCGGAUCGUAAAACUCUGUUAUUAGGGAAGAACAAAUGUGUAAGUAACUAUGCACGUCUUGACGGUACCUAAUCAGAAAGCCACGGCUAACUACGUG
rnacentral:rRNA from 1 species